GACGAACCGAGCGAACGUUAUUCGGAAUCACUGGGCUUAAAGGGUGCGUAGGCGGGCUCGCGAGUCAGGGGUGAAAUCCCACGGCCCAACCGUGGAAGUGCCUCUGAUACCGCGGGCCUCGAGGGGGAUAGGGGCGUGCGGAACUUCCGGUGGAGCGGUGAAAUGCGUAGAUAUCGGAAAGAACACCAACGGCGGAAAGCACUCUGCUGGGCCGACACUGACACUGGAGAGACGAAAGCUAGGGGAGCGAAUGGG
rnacentral:rRNA from 1 species